UCGUGUUUACGUGAUGCAUAGUAGAGUGCACACAGAGGAAGAGUGUACUACAUGUGUGUAUUGUGCUUGUUCAUAGCUGUCUGUAGCUGAGCACAUGAGCAGUUGUGUGUAAGAUUAAAAGCAAACAUCAGCCUUUCUUAAGGAAAGGAGGAAAGUCCUGCUUGUGAUUUGCUUACCAUCUUGUGCAUCACGUAUUUGCUGUCUGUCUGCAAGAUAUUUCCACGUGGAUAUACACAUAUCUAAUGUGGUGGAGAUUGAGCGUGAGUGUUUAUUUAAAGAGUUUAAUUUAAGUUGCAUGUUUUAUUAUAAUAAUCGGGUAUUUGUGGAAAAAUAACAAUCCAUUUUCUCUUUGACUGAAUUAUAUUAGAGGGGAGAACAGAUACAUGUGUGUCAGCGCCUCGUUUCAUGUUACAGCGUGUCACAGAAAUAGCAUCCAAAAGCCACUACCGUUGUUUAUAGGGGUAUAUUUCAUACAGGGCUAUUUUUGUAUGUUUUGAUUUAUUUUCUCUGUUGAUUUGGGAUCUUUAUAAUCUUGAGAAGGAAUGUGAUUUAAGGAGUAAUGUGUAUUAACCCUUUCUAAUCAGCCGAAUUUCACCCAAAGGGAGUGUUCAAUAGUUGGGCUACUGUUUUAUUUGUUUUAUUUAUUUUUCUUUAAACUGAAUAGGCCAUUGUAACUAAAUAUUUACAUUGUAUUUGGAGCUUGUGUUAAUUUGAUCUCUUUUUAUAUUUCUUGUAAACUUGGUUUAUUAUAAUAUACUACACAGGGGGAAAUUUCACAGUCAUUUAAUGCUGUGUUUUCUCUUAACUCAGUCGGAAAUAAAGAACCCCUGUUAGA